CAUGUAGGCGGCUUAAUAAGUCGAGCGUGAAAAUGCGGGGCUCAACCCCGUAUGGCGCUGGAAACUGUUAGGCUUGAGUGCAGGAGAGGAAAGGGGAAUUCCCGGUGUAACGGUGGAAUGUGUAGAUAUCGGGAAGAACACCAAUGGCGAAGGCAGGUCUCUGGGCCGUCACUGACGCUGAGGAGCGAAAGCGUGGGGAGCGAACA
rnacentral:rRNA from 1 species